rnacentral:rRNA from 1 species
CCCUAUUAUUUCUUUAUUUAAUUCUUAAAUUCUGAAUAUUGUUAGUUAUUUUCUUUUAAACUCAAAGAAUUUGGCGGUUAAUUAUCUCUUUUUAGGGGAAUAUGUAUUAUAAUUGAUAUUCCACGAUAGAUUUUACCUUUAUAAAUAUUUUAAUUUGUAUACCUCUAUUAUUUGAAUGUUAUAAAAAUACAUCUUCUUUUUAUUUAUAAUUUUGACUUUAGGUCAAGGUGCAGUUUUAUUAAGGUAAAUAUGUAUUACUAUAAUUUUAUAUUUUAUUGGAUAAUGAUUUUAAAGUUUUUAUUGAAAUAGGAUUUAAUAGUAAUUUUGAUUAAUUAAUCUUUAUGAAUUUGCACUGAUUAAUGUACA